AUUGAACGCUGGCGGCAUGCCUUACACAUGCAAGUCGAACGGCAGCAUGAUCUAGCUUGCUAGAUUGAUGGCGAGUGGCGAACGGGUGAGUAAUACAUCGGAACGUGCCCUGUAGUGGGGGAUAACUAGUCGAAAGAUUAGCUAAUACCGCAUACGACCUGAGGGUGAAGGUGGGGACCGCAAGGCCUCAUGCUAUAGGAGCGGCCGAUGUCUGAUUAGCUAGUUGGUGAGGUAAAGGCUCACCAAGGCGACGAUCAGUAGCUGGUCUGAGAGGACGAUCAGCCACACUGGGACUGAGACACGGCCCAGACUCCUACGGGAGGCAGCAGUGGGGAAUUUUGGACAAUGGGGGCAACCCUGAUCCAGCAAUGCCGCGUGUGUGAAGAAGGCCUUCGGGUUGUAAAGCACUUUUGUCCGGAAAGAAAUCGCAUUUACUAAUAUUAGGUGUGGAUGACGGUACCGGAAGAAUAAGGACCGGCUAACUACGUGCCAGCAGCCGCCGCCGUAA
rnacentral:rRNA from 1 species